UACAUAGGGGGCAAGCGUUAUCCGGAACUAUUGGGCGUAAAGCGUGUGUAGGCGGUUUAUUAAGUCUGAUGUUAAAUCCCACAGCUUAACUGUGGGCUGCCAUUGGAAACUGGUAGACUUGAGUGCGGUAGAGGUAAGUGGAAUUCCAAGUGGAGCGGUGGAAUGCGUAGAUAUUUGGAGGAACACCAGUGGCGAAGGCGGCUUACUGGGCCGUUACUGACGCUGAGGCACGAAAGCGUGGGGAGCAAAC
rnacentral:rRNA from 1 species